ACGGCAGCAGCUCUCGCGCGAGGAGGAAGAUGGCCGAAGCUUCCUUGCCGCCGUGCGGGCGUUUCCGGCGUCGGUGGUCGCUGAUCUUGGUGCCAAUCGACUCCUCUCGGCCUCGGCUUUGUUUUGGCGGCGGCGGUGUCGACAGUGGUGGCCGGAAACGGAAGAUCCGGUGGAGAGAGAAAAUGGUGGCAGCCGGCGUUUUUGGGUUUUUUCGGCGAGAUCCGGCGGAGGAUGGACGAUCGGAGGACGUAUCCCGACUCUCCUCAGCUCAAGCUUCGCGAUGGCACUGGUUUCGUGGCGAUCGGGCUUCGUUUGCGAAUCGACGGUCGAGAUCGUCCGCAAAUCUCUCCGGAUGAUCGGGUGUCAGAUCGGAAAAUCGGAAGCAGGGAUCGUCAUCAGCGCGUCGUUGUGAGUUCGUUGGUGUGUUCGGAUCGUCGAUCGGACUCCGGCGGCCGGAGGCGAGUCGACCGAGUGUCUCGGUAAUUUUCUCUGGCCGUUGAUCUUAGAAAUCCUUGAUUUUAAAUUUGUGUCUAUUGGAUUAUAUUGAGUAUUUGAUGAUUUUUGUGAGUCAAAAAUAUUUGUCUGUCAGUUUGCCUGCCAUAGUCGUAUUUUGUGCUGUGUGGCGGAGUCGGGAAAUAGUGAAGUUUGGGGACCCGACUCCUAUUGUUUGAAUCGUUAAGUAUUUGAAGUGUUCUUCUGGCAGGUCCUGGACCC
rnacentral:lncRNA from 1 species